UGAAACACAGUUUUCUCUGGAUGAAC
rnacentral:sRNA from 1 species